rnacentral:rRNA from 1 species
UACGUAGGGAGCAAGCGUUGUCCGGAAUCAUUGGGCGUAAAGCGCGCGUAGGCGGCCCUGUAAGUCCGUUGUGAAAGUCAAAGGCUCAACCUUUGAAAGCCGAUGGAUACUGCAGGGCUAGAGUCCGGAAGAGGCGAGUGGAAUUCCUGGUGUAGCGGUGGAAUGCGCAGAUGUCAGGAGGAACACCAAUAGCGAAGGCAGCUCGCUGGGACGGUACUGACGCUAAGGCGCGAAAGCUAGGGGAGCAAACGGG